UAAUACAUGCAAGUCGAGCGAAUGGAUUAAGAGCUUGCUCUUAUGAAGUUAGCGGCGGACGGGUGAGUAACACGUGGGUAACCUACCCAUAAGACUGGGAUAACUCCGGGAAACCGGGGCUAAUACCGGAUAAUAUUUUGAACUGCAUAGUUCGAAAUUGAAAGGCGGCUUCGGCUGUCACUUAUGGAUGGACCCGCGUCGCAUUAGCUAGUUGGUGAGGUAACGGCUCACCAAGGCGACGAUGCGUAGCCGACCUGAGAGGGUGAUCGGCCACACUGGGACUGAGACACGGCCCAGACUCCUACGGGAGGCAGCAGUAGGGAAUCUUCCGCAAUGGACGAAAGUCUGACGGAGCAACGCCGCGUGAGUGAUGAAGGCUUUCGGGUCGUAAAACUCUGUUGUUAGGGAAGAACAAGUGCUAGUUGAAUAAGCUGGCACCUUGACGGUACCUAACCAGAAAGCCACGGCUAACUACGUGCCAGCAGCCGCGGUAAUACGUAGGUGGCAAGCGUUAUCCGGAAUUAUUGGGCGUAAAGCGCGCGCAGGUGGUUUCUUAAGUCUGAUGUGAAAGCCCACGGCUCAACCGUGGAGGGUCAUUGGAAACUGGGAGACUUGAGUGCAGAAGAGGAAAGUGGAAUUCCAUGUGUAGCGGUGAAAUGCGUAGAGAUAUGGAGGAACACCAGUGGCGAAGGCGACUUUCUGGUCUGUAACUGACACUGAGGCGCGAAAGCGUGGGGAGCAAACAGGAUUAG
rnacentral:rRNA from 1 species